rnacentral:lncRNA from 1 species
CAGGUAUACCAAAGCAUUUAGCACGGGGUUGGAGGGUUUGUCGAAGUUUUCCUUGCUUUUCUUUGUCGUCUCCCCUUCUUCCCCCCACCAUCCUCUGCCAAGAAAAGAAAGAGAGAAGGGGAUGCGCGCCCACGGUCCCAGGCAGUCCGCUAAAAGGCGGCGGAGUUGUUGUUGCCACGGUAUCUGCUGCCACCGUUUCGGGUCUCGCGCAUGCGUACUGCCGUCCAUAAUGUCGCGCAUGCGUACUGCCCUCUCGAACCUCGCGCAUGCG